UUUCACAGCAACAACAAGGUGAACCAACUCUGAAUUUGACGUCUCAGCUCCCCGCUUGCAGAAGUAAGUCUCUCGUUUGCUUCGAGGCUGGGAUAGAAGCUGAGUUACUCCAAGCAAUGGGCAGCCGUGAACAGAUCCCAACGCCACUGGGUUUCUGCUGUCUCAGUGCAGCUCCUUCCACCACUCCUCAGUUGGGUGGAGCUGGGUUUUGUGCUCAGCUCUUGCAUGAGCAGCAGAUCCAUUAAAUAUUUCAUUUUUGUGGCUGUGGUAAACUCCUGAGUUGUUCAUGAUACUGUGCUUCAUUUAUGGCCGAUUUUGGGUGCUGCGUAACAGAUGCCAGAAGUGUUUUGAUCUGACUCAGCAGGGAUCAGUGCCCUUCCCCAAGCAGUGCCUAUUCGUGUCUGAGCCAAUCCUGGUUCCUGCUGCCUUCUUGUCAGUUGGUGCUCGUCUCGGGGUGGAGACAAGGCAACUCCUGUUUUUUCUGUGUGUCACAGCCUGAGAGAAAUGCUCCAACUGCAGCUUCCCACCACUGGUGACAGUGACAAACCUCCCUGUUUUCCCAGGUUGACAAACCUAUGGUGCUCAGUGGAGGCAUUGCACACGAGCUGGUGGCUGGCCCGAGCACCUUCUCAAGUGGUGCCCCUACGUAGAGUGCCUUUGGUAAAAGCCAAGGCAAAACCCCUUCCUCAGAGGAUGUUUGGUCUACUCUGUAAAAGCAAGGAAGGCAAUCUGCAAAAGAAGAUGAUCCAAGAUCUGUGCUGCCUCCUGGAUCUACCCAUAGGUUUCCUGCUGGUUAAAGCAGCUUCAGAAGAGCCAGCAACUGUGAAAGCAAACUUGUCUCUGUCUGGGGCAGACCCAUGUUAGGUGGUUUUGCUCCAGAAAGAGAAAAUGUUUCUUGCUUCAUCACGAGGAAGUUAAAGUUACCUUUGUAUUGCACUCUACUGUUCUUAAUUAAAUUGAAUAAUUUUACAUAAUAAAUCGAGCAUUGCACCUGCAGUAUGCAAUGCAGAC